CAUCGGCCCGAUGUUGCGUUGCU
rnacentral:miRNA from 1 species